rnacentral:tRNA from 1 species
GCCUGGGUGGCUCGGUUGGUUGAGCAUCUGACUUCAGCUCAGGUCAUGAUCUUGCAGUUUGUGGGUUCAAGCCCCACAUUGGGCU